GUGGUCAGUGUGGUCCAUGUGACAGAGUGGCUGCAGAUAAUUAUAUUUCAGUGAUGUAAUGUAUUCAGUUGUAUAUGACAUAUAUAAGCAACCAAUGAAAUUCCUUAUUUAAAACAACAAUACACAAGUGUUUAUUUGCGUGAGCAUUUUGUCAGGGCUUAAACUUGGACUCAAAGGUCUAUGCCAGCUUAGGUAUAGUGACAGUAACAGCAGAAAACGUCGAAUUGAGAGGGAUUCAACUACCUAUUAAAUAAUGCAAGUAUAACUUCAAUGUUUCGAGUGAAGGCCCUCCGUCAGGAAGUCAGCGUUAAACUUGGACCGAUAAUAUGUUUGUGGGCUUAAACUUGGGCCAAUAUAAGCAACCCAUCUUAUUUGUGAAUUACUUAAUUAAGCAAGUAUAUUGAAUUGAUAUGGAAAAUUGCUUGAGUUUGUUGGUAAGUAUUGUAUGGAUUCGAAAAAUUCAAGAUUCAACAAGAUAAAUGCCC